GUGGGGAAUAUUGGACAAUGGGGGGAACCCUGAUCCAGCCAUGCCGCGUGUGUGAAGAAGGCCUUUUGGUUGUAAAGCACUUUAAGCGAGGAGGAGGCUACCGAGAUUAAUACUCUUGGAUAGUGGACGUUACUCGCAGAAUAAGCACCGGCUAACUCUGUGCCAGCAGCCGCGGUAAUACAGGGGGUGCAAGCGUUAAUCGGAUUUACUGGGCGUAAAGCGCGCGUAGGUGGCCAAUUAAGUCAAAUGUGAAAUCCCCGAGCUUAACUUGGGAAUUGCAUUCGAUACUGGUUGGCUAGAGUAUGGGAGAGGAUGGUAGAAUUCCAGGUGUAGCGGUGAAAUGCGUAGAGAUCUGGAGGAAUACCGAUGGCGAAGGCAGCCAUCUGGCCUAAUACUGACACUGAGGUGCGAAAGCAUGGGGAGCAAACAGGAUUAGAAACCCGGGUAGUCC
rnacentral:rRNA from 1 species